GAUGAACGCUGGCGGCGUGCCUAAUACAUGCAAGUAGAACGCUGAAGGAGGAGCUUGCUCUUCUGGAUGAGUUGCGAACGGGUGAGUAACGCGUAGGUAACCUGCCUGGUAGCGGGGGAUAACUAUUGGAAACGAUAGCUAAUACCGCAUGACAACAGUUAUUGCAUGAUAACUGUUUAAAAGGGGCAACUGCUCCACUACCAGAUGGACCUGCGUUGUAUUAGCUAGUUGGUGAGGUAACGGCUCACCAAGGCGACGAUACAUAGCCGACCUGAGAGGGGGAUCGGCCACACUGGGACUGAGACACGGCCCAGACUCCUACGGGAGGCAGCAGUAGGGAAUCUUCGGCAAUGGACGGAAGUCUGACCGAGCAACGCCGCGUGAGUGAAGAAGGUUUUCGGAUCGUAAAGCUCUGUUGUAAGAGAAGAACGAGUGUGAGAGUGGAAAGUUCACACUGUGACGGUAUCUUAUCAGAAAGGGACGGCUAACUACGUG
rnacentral:rRNA from 1 species